rnacentral:rRNA from 1 species
UACGUAGGGGGCAAACGUUGUCCGGAUUUACUGGGCGUAAAGGAUGCGUAGGCGGACAUUUAAGUCAGAUGUGAAAUACCCGAGCUUAACUUGGGUGCUGCAUUUGAAACUGGGUGUCUAGAGUGCAGGAGAGGUAAGUGGAAUUCCUAGUGUAGCGGUGAAAUGCGUAGAGAUUAGGAAGAACACCAGUGGCGAAGGCGACUUACUGGACUGUAACUGACGCUGAGGAGCGAAAGUGUGGGGAGCGAACAGG